rnacentral:rRNA from 1 species
UACGUAGGGGGCUAGCGUUGUCCGGAAUCAUUGGGCGUAAAGCGCGUGUAGGCGGUUUGGUAAGUCCGCUGUGAAAGUCGGGGGCUCAACCCUCGAAUGCCGGUGGAUACUGUCGAACUAGAGUGCGGAAGAGGCGAGUGGAAUUCCUGGUGUAGCGGUGAAAUGCGCAGAUAUCAGGAGGAACACCAUUGCGAAGGCAGCUCGCUGGGACGUAACUGACGCUGAGACGCGAAAGCGUGGGGAGCAAACAGG